rnacentral:rRNA from 1 species
GCCUGAUCCAGCCAUGCCGCGUGCAGGAAGACGGUCCUAUGGAUUGUAAACUGCUUUUGUACAGGAAGAAACACUACUUCGUGAAGUCACUUGACGGUACUGUAAGAAUAAGGAUCGGCUAACUCCGUGCCAGCAGCCGCGGUAAUACGAU